UACAGAGGUCUCAAGCGUUGUUCGGAAUCACUGGGCGUAAAGGGUGCGUAGGUGGCGUCGUAAGUCGGGUGUGAAAUCUCGGGCUUAACUCCGAAACUGCAUUCGAUACUGCGGUGCUUGAGGACUGGAGAGGAGACUGGAAUUUACGGUGUAGCAGUGAAAUGCGUAGAGAUCGUAAGGAAGACCCAGUGGCGAAGGCGGGUCUCUGGACAGUUCCUGACACUGAGGCACGAAAGGCCCAGGGGAGCAAACGGG
rnacentral:rRNA from 1 species